UACGGAGGGUGCUAGCGUUGUUCGGAAUCACUGGGCGUAAAGGGCGCGUAGGCGGCCUGAUAAGUAGGGGGGUGAAAUCCUGCGGCUUAACCGCAGGGCUGCCUUCUAAACUGUCGGGCUAGAGCACGGUAGAGGCAGAUGGAAUUCCCGGUGUAGCGGUGGAAUGCGUAGAGAUCGGGAAGAACAUCAGUGGCGAAGGCGGUCUGCUGGGCCGUUGCUGACGCUGAGGCGCGACAGCGUGGGGAGGCAAACAGG
rnacentral:rRNA from 1 species